GACAGAGGAGGCAAGCGUUGUCCGGACUUACUGGGCGUAAAGCGUCCGCAGGUGGUCGGGCAAGUGCCGUGUGAAAUCCCUCGGCUUAACCGAGGAACUGCCUGUCAGACUGGAAGGCUUGAGACCGGGAGAGGUGAGUGGAAUUCCCAGUGUAGCGGUGAAAUGCGUAGAUAUCGGAAGGAACACCAGUGGCGAAGGCGGCUACCUGGACUGACACUGACGCUGAGGCGCGAGAGCGUGGGGAGCAAACAGG
rnacentral:rRNA from 1 species